rnacentral:rRNA from 9 species
CCUGGCGGCACUAGCGCGGUGGUCCCACCUGACCCCAUGCCGAACUCAGAAGUGAAACGCCGUAGCGCCGA